rnacentral:rRNA from 1 species
UUGUAAAGCACUUUAAGCGAGGAGGAGGCUACCUAGAUUAAUACUUUAGGAUAGUGGACGUUACUCGCAGAAUAAGCACCGGCUAACUCUGUGCCAGCAGCCGCGGUAAUACAGAGGGUGCGAGCGUUAAUCGGAUUUACUGGGCGUAAAGCGUGCGUAGGCGGCCAAUUAAGUCAAAUGUGAAAUCCCCGAGCUUAACUUGGGAAUUGCAUUCGAUACUGGUUGGCUAGAGUAUGGGAGAGGAUGGUAGAAUUCCAGGUGUAGCGGUGAAAUGCGUAGAGAUCUGGAGGAAUACCGAUGGCGAAGGCAGCCAUCUGGCCUAAUACUGACGCUGAGGUACGAAAGCAUGGGGAGCAAACAGGAUUAGAUACCCUGGUAGUCCAUGCCGUAAACGAUGUCUACUAGCCGUUGGGGCCCUUGAGGCUUUAGUGGCGCAGCUAACGCGAUAAGUAGACCGCCUGGGGAGUACGGUCGCAAGACUAAAACUCAAAUGAAUUGACGGGGGCCCGCACAAG